rnacentral:lncRNA from 1 species
UACCGGACGGGGUAUGGGGAUGGCCCUGGAAUUAAGUUAUUAAUGUGAAUAGUUCACGUGUAGCGGGGACACCCUAUGGAUCCCUAUGGAUACUAGUAGGCUGAUAAAAGAGGAAAAUUAUUGCCUGAUGGUUGAAAUACAAAAGUAUGAUAUGUGUUAUGUUGCAAAGUGUGCGUGAUCUUAUGAUAUUUAUGAUGUAAUUGUUUUCAUAAAUUGUUUUCAAGAAUCUCAUCGAGGUAGGUAGACAGUAAAGAGUUUUAUUAUUGAUAAAUGAGUUUGUUAUAAAUUAUGCUUCAUUAGUCGUUUUCGUUUUCUAUUAACCUUUUCUUCUGUGACAGUGAGAUAGUGUGAUGUCUUUACUGGGCUAGUGUAACUCAUUCCUUACUUAACCAUUUCAGAUCAAGAGGACUUGGUUCCCGAGCUCGUUUUACAGGAACACGGCGAGUAGAAGCCCAAGAAUUUAUUAGUUUUCCUUACAGCAUUCAUUCAUAGUAUUUCCUUUUAGUUAGUUCAUUCUUUCAUACUUUAAUUCGUUUUAGUUAUUGUGUAAGAGAUGUUAAUCAUAAUCUAUUUUAUUUCGCUUCCGCACUU